rnacentral:rRNA from 1 species
UACGAAGGGGGCUAGCGUUACUCGGAUUGACUGGGCGUAAAGGGCGCGUAGGCGGUUUGUACAGUCAGACGUGAAAUUCCUGGGCUCAACCUGGGGGCUGCGUUUGAUACGUGCAGACUUGAGUUCGGAAGAGGGCCGUGGAAUUCCCAGUGUAGAGGUGAAAUUCGUAGAUAUUGGGAAGAACACCGGUGGCGAAGGCGGCGACCUGGUCCGAUACUGACGCUGAGGCGCGAAAGCGUGGGGAGCAAACAGG